rnacentral:rRNA from 1 species
AACGAACGCUGGCGGCAUGCCUAAUACAUGCAAGUCGAACGAGAUCUUCGGAUCUAGUGGCGCACGGGUGCGUAACGCGUGGGAACCUGCCCUUGGGUUCGGAAUAACUUCUGGAAACGGAUGCUAAUACCGGAUGAUGUCGUAAGUCCAAAGAUUUAUCGCCCUAGGAUGAGCCCGCGUAGGAUUAGGUAGUUGGUGAGGUAAAAGCUCACCAAGCCGACGAUCCUUAGCUGGUCUGAGAGGAUGAUCAGCCACACUGGGACUGAGACACGGCCCAGACUCCUACGGGAGGCAGCAGUAGGGAAUAUUGGACAAUGGGCGAAAGCCUGAUCCAGCAAUGCCGCGUGAGUGAUGAAGGCCUUAGGGUUGUAAAGCUCUUUUACCCGGGAUGAUAAUGACAGUACCGGGAGAAUAAGCUCCGGCUAACUCCGUG